rnacentral:rRNA from 1 species
AUGCAUAGCACAAUCAAUAAGUUAAGCAAUGGAGCACUUCAAUCAGUGGCUAAAAUCAUCAGCCGCACCAAGUGUAGUUUUAAUAAGACUAGACCACUGUUAAGAGAAAUUGUAACAUACCAUCUUCCGUGUUACUUAGCCAAGUUGGAUCAUGAAGAUGUCAUCAUGUCUGAGUUGUCUGAAAUUUUGAUAAAUCCUGGCAGCUACCAAUCUGAUUCGUUGAGCCUUGUCACACCUGUGUCACCACUGCUUCUGUCAUCUAUCAACCAAGCUUUGGAUAGACUUGAUGGGAUUCCUGACCAAGCUCUUGUUGCAGUGAACAGGAAACUCAUAGGAAAAACAUCUAUGCCGAAAUUCUGGCAUGUGCCUCGGUCUUCCAGUAGAGGGCAUCUUAUUGAAAUAGUGAGGAAAAGAUGCAAAAUGAUUAUAGCGCGUAUUGAGGAAGGUUACAUGCCAAAGAGAUUAGCAAAGGCCAUGUCAAUGGUGAACCUAUACUGGAAGCAGAAGUUGAGAUCCAUGGAUAUUUCUCAGUUAGAGUACUUCCCCUUUUCAAAAGAAACAGCGUCUUUGCAAAAUGAUGUCCUGAAUGCUCUUUGGUUGCUUCCGAAACUCCAGCAUGAUGACCUAAAAUUGCUGCGUCCCAUAUUGGACCCAGAUCCUAAAUUUCGAAAG